ACGGGAGGCAGCAGUGGGGAAUAUUGGACAAUGGGGGAAACCCUGAUCCAGCGACGCCGCGUGAGUGAAGAAGUAUUUCGGUAUGUAAAGCUCUAUCAGCAGGGAAGAUAAUGACGGUACCUGACUAAGAAGCCCCGGCUAACUACGUGCCAGCAGCCGCGGUAAUACGUAGGGGGCAAGCGUUAUCCGGAUUUACUGGGUGUAAAGGGAGCGUAGACGGCAUGGCAAGCCAGAUGUGAAAGGCAGGGGCUCAACUCCUGGACUGCAUUUGGAACUGUCAAGCUAGAGUAUCGGAGAGGUAAGUGGAAUUCCUAGUGUAGCGGUGAAAUGCGUAGAUAUUAGGAGGAACACCAGUGGCGAAGGCGGCUUGCUGGACGAUAACUGACGUUGAGGCUCGAAAGCGUGGGGAGCAAACAGGAUUAGAUACCCUGGUA
rnacentral:rRNA from 1 species